GACUUCCGAGGGGCGGCGCGAACGGCAAUGGCGGUCCUCUUCUGAAAGGGAGAGGAGGCUCCGCAGAAAACGGGUCGUCCGCUACGGCGAAGCGGAGACCCACUCUGGAAAACCCCAGGCAGCAAGAGCUUGGGGUCCUGAGGCUCGGUGGGCGCCUUAAGUGACCCUCCAAACGCAGAAGGAACCUCGUAAGGGGCUCCGGAGCGUGGAGGGGGGUUGCGGCGCUGAGAGCUGCUUCACAGUCUGCGGAGUGAAGCCGCGCUGCUGCUGCCGGUGAGCGCUGAUCCUUUUUCCUGCUAAAGACGGAUUCGGACGAAAAGCAACUUACUCGUGAGUAAAGACUGAAUCACUUGAAAUCAGAGACUUUAUAUAAAAAAUCUUAAAUUGGCUUGAACUUGGCUGAAAGCGGAGAGACGUGGAAACAGGAAGUCCGUCUUCCGCAGCCAUUGAACUUGAAAAAGCAACUAAGUUGGAGGAGUGGAGGCUGAAAGGAAGAGAUUUUAAACUUUACAGAUCUAAGCAUCUACUGAACCUGCAAUUUAAAGUAAAGACUUUAAGCUAAAGACUUGGAAUUUUAACUUGCACUUGACUUUCCCCUUUUAUUGGAUUACAAAUUAGAAGGUGAAACCCAGAGUCAGGAGCUGCCUGAGCAUUGAGAAAUUGAGCUGUCAGUAUUGCAGAUUUGGAUACUGUAUAUUGGAACUUGCAACAAUCUGAGGGUAUUGAGACUUUUUAAAUUUGAAACAUUCUUUUUGGAGACAAAUAAGCACUGUCUGUAACAAAGUGACUACUUAUAAACUCUGCUAAAUAUUUAUAUUUGAAGGUUCUUGGACAUUAAAUUAGACUCUGAAAGACAUUUUAAGCUCCCUCUAGAGGACUGGAUGAAAACAGUGACUUUACAUUUACAUUUACUUUCGAUUCCCUUGUUGUUUGCUUGCUCUGGGCCUUUCUAUUCCCAUGGGAAAAACUCAGUGUGACCUUGACUGAUAGACAACGUUGGAAUGAGUGGCACAAGGAAAAGAGGGAGAGUUAGACAAACAACUUUAACAACUCUAACCUCAGCCUCGCAGACACGUAGAUCAUCUGUACCUACUUUGCCCUCAGAAGUAGAACUUGAAGAAGUUGCCUUGCCACAGGCAAAAGAGGGAGAGGGUGAAGCAGAGCAGUUACAAUUGGAAGAUAUGGCCUCAGGAGUAUCUGUUUCUGUUCUAGACAAAAUCUUUGAAAAAUUGGAAGCUUUGGACAAGAAAGUAGAUGCGCAAUCAGCAAAGAUUGACAAAAAUACAGAAUGUCUAAAUAAAUUAACCAUACAAGUUGUACAGAAUACACAAGCAAUUGGACAGUUAACGGAGGCCUCAGCAGAAAAUCGGAAACUGGCUGAGGAUACUAGACAAAAAUUGGAAAAUUUAGAGCAAGAGGUAAGGCCACUCACCAAACAAGUUGGGGAACAUCAGACUUAUCUUUCCAUGAUAGAACUGCGAAAUCGUGAGAAUAAUUUGAGGAUUAGAUCAUUACAAGAGGCAGAAGAAGGAAAUUUAACUGAGUUUUUGACCAAAGAAUUUUCCAAGUUCUGGAAUUUGGAAGAAAAGGAUUUUAAAAUUGUGUCGGCUUUCAGACUUGGAAGAUUCACAAAGAAGGAGAGGCCCAGAGACUGUUUGAUUACAUUGAGAUCAAAGGAGGAAAGGGAUAAGAUUUUGGGCCUACAUUACGGAAAGUCACUGGAGGUUUUGGACAGAAGAAUUGAAAUUUAUAAAGAUAUUCCAAGACAACUGCUGGAUCUUAGAGCCGCCUAUUCUGAACUUGCUAAACUACUAAGGAGCAACGCAAUUCCAUUUAGGUGGGAAUUUCCACAAGGAAUAUCUUUUACCUUUAAAGGGAGAAAGGUCAAAGUUAGAACAUUGGAAGAGAGAGACAAAUUUUUGGCUACAUACGGAGAGGACCUUCAAAAAAGGAACUGAAUUACCUUCUGGGCCUGGGGCAAAGCCAGUAUCAACACCAGCACCUGGGGAACCUGAAGAUCUAGAGAAGACACCACCCCUGGAGAAAUAACCAGAUAGAUCCAGGAUGUCUCUGCAAUUGCUGAGUUGGAACAUUAAUGGUUGUAACAUUCCGGAAAAAAGGAAGAAAAUAUUUCAUAUAUUAAAAAAAGAACAAUUGGACAUCAUCUGUUUACAAGAAACACAUGUGACGAGGCUCCACAGAAAAGUGUUAAUAAAUAAAAGAUUGGGCCAGGAAUUUGUUUCGUCGGACAAAGUUAAGAAGAGAGGCGUGGUGAUAUAUGCAAAAGAGAGCCUGUCACCUAAAUUCUUAUUUAAAGAUGAAUAUGGAAGAAUUUUGGCCAUUGAGAUACAACAUCAAGGAGAGAAACUGUUGAUAUUAGGAAUCUAUGCACCUAAUGAAGGGAAAUCGGAAUUUUACAAGAAGCUGCAGGGGACAAUGCUGGACUAUCUGGAUUACAACAACAUCAUAAUGAUGGGAGAUAUGAACGGGGUCGUGUCAACUAAUAUGGACAAGUCACAAAGUCAAAAUGUUACAAAAGACGGCAGACUACCUAAAACCUUUUUUGAAAUGACUGACAAUAUGGAUUUGAUUGAUAUUUGGAGGACAAAGAACCCACUAGGUAGAGAAGGAACAUUCUUUUCUGAAGCCCAACUGACCUGGACAAGAAUCGACCAAAUAUGGAUUUCUAGAGGCCUGGCACCUAAGGUCAGAAAAGUGGAAAUCUGCCCAAAGACCUGCUCUGAUCAUAAUGCAGUAAAGAUGGAUAUGACACUACUACCAACUGGAUCCUUUAGAUGGAAGAUGAAUGACAAUUUAUUUAGAGAUCAGGAAAUUACCAAGAAGGCCCAAAAGUUUUGAAGGACUAUUUUGAGAUAAACAUGAACAAUUCGGUGGAAAAAAGAAUCGUCUGGGACGCAAGCAAAGCUGUAAUGAGGGGAUUCUUGAUACAACAGAAUGUAGUAAAGAAAAGAACACAAAAUGAGAAAAAAGAUAAGAUCUUGGA